CCUACGGGCGGCAGCAGUGAGGAAUAUUGGUCAAUGGGCGUAAGCCUGAACCAGCCAAGUCGCGUGCGGGAUGAAGGUUCUAUGGAUCGUAAACUUCUUUUAUAAGGGAAUAAAGUGUGGGACGUGUCCUAUUUUGUAUGUACCUCAUGAAUAAGGAUCGGCUAAAUCCGUGCCAGCAGCCGCGGUAAUACGGAGGAUCCGAGCGUUAUCCGGAUUUAUUGGGUUUAAAGGGUGCGUAGGCGGCAUUUUAAGUCAGCGGUGAAAGUCUGUGGCUCAACCAUAGAAUUGCCGUUGAAACUGGGGGGCUUGAGUAUGUGUGAGGCAGGCGGAAUGCGUGGUGUAGCGGUGAAAUGCUUAGAUAUCACGCAGAACCCCGAUUGCGAAGGCAGCCUGCCAGGCCAUGACUGACGCUGAUGCACGAAAGCGUGGGGAUCAAACAGGAUUAGAUACCCGAGUAGUC
rnacentral:rRNA from 1 species